UCCUGGUAAGCUUAGUUGGUAGAGCGCUCUACUGGAAAAGGAGAUGAUCCUGGUUAAAUACUAGGACUAGGCG
rnacentral:tRNA from 2 species